CAUUAAGAAGCUAUAGGACUUCAGCAACAGCCUUUUAAGCUGUAGAUAGGUGCUUUCCAAACACCCUUAGUGG
rnacentral:tRNA from 1 species